AGGACGAACGCUGGCGGCGUGCUUAACACAUGCAAGUCGAGCGGAAAGGCCCUUCGGGGUACUCGAGCGGCGAACGGGUGAGUAACACGUGAGCAACCUGCCCCUGGCUCUGGGAUAGCCUCCGGAAACGGGGAUUAAUACCGGACAUUCACUUCCUUCCGCAUGGUUGGUGGUGGAAAGUUUUUCGGCCGGGGAGGGGCUCGCGGUCUAUCAGCUUGUUGGCGGGGUAACGGCCCACCAAGGCGACGACGGAUAGCCGGCCUGAGAGGGCGAUCGGCCACACUGGGACUGAGACACGGCCCAGACUCCUACGGGAGGCAGCAGUGGGGAAUAUUGCACAAUGGGCGCAAGCCUGAUGCAGCGACGCCGCGUGGGGGAUGAAGGCCUUCGGGUUGUAAACCCCUUUCACCAGGAGCGAAUUCAGACGGUACCUGGGGAAGAAGCGCCGGCUAACUACGCGCCAGCAGCCGC
rnacentral:rRNA from 1 species